UACGUAGGGUGCGAGCGUUAAUCGGAAUUACUGGGCGUAAAGCGUGCGCAGGCGGUUUUGUAAGCCAGAUGUGAAAUCCCCGGGCUUAACCUGGGAAUGGCAUUUGGGACUGCAAGGCUGGAGUUUGGCAGAGGAGACUGGAAUUUCGCGUGUAGCAGUGAAAUGCGUAGAGAUGCGGAGGAACACCGAUGGCGAAGGCAGCCUCCUGGGAUAACACUGACGCUCAGGCACGAAAGCGUGGGGAGCAAACAGG
rnacentral:rRNA from 1 species